rnacentral:rRNA from 1 species
AACGUAGGUGGCGAGCGUUAUCCGGAAUUACUGGGCGUAAAGCGUGUGCAGGCGGGCUAGCAAGUGGUGUAUGAAAGCUCCCGGCUCAACCGGGAAGGGUUAUGCCAGACUGCUAGUCUUGAGUGCGAGAGAGGAAUGUGGAAUUCCGGGUGUAGUGGUGAAAUGCGUAGAUAUCUGGAGGAACACCGGUGGCGAAGGCGGCAUCCUGGACCGACACUGACACUGAGGAGCGAAAGCCAGGGGAGCAAACGGG